AAUCAAAGCAGCUGAAAGAUGAGGCAAAAUAUUGUGAGAAGGAAGAAGCUAAAAUGAUAUCAAGAAGCAACUACACUAAGUGUCAGAAGAACAAGAGAGACGAGAGAUACAACAUUGCUUAUUUGAGAAAGCCUCAUGCGGUAAAAAGGCAGGCAACACUUGCUUAAAAGUAAAAAGGAUAAUCUGUCUUUAGGAUUAUCCUUUUUACUUUUGGCAAUAUUGAAGCAACACUUGCUUAAAAGUAAAAAGGAUAAUCUGUCUUUAGGAUUUAUCUAUUAUGACUAACCCCAGGAUGAGCUUAUGUGAAAAAUGUGUGGUUCCUUGGGAGGAAAUGCAAUCUGGAGUGCUCAUGUUGCUCUUGCACUCUGAACAUAUACGAAGGAGUAGUUGCUAUUCUUGACUUGUUGUCAGGUUGUUUCUAACAUGACGAUAAAGCGAAUGGGGAAGUUACUGCAUCCCUCAUUUGAGAGCUACCCGGGAGUAAGGAGAUAGAUAAAGAAGAUGACCACGAAAAGCUUUCAGAAAUUUGGAGUAUUAACAUUAAAAUAGAUGCAAGUCCUAUAUGCAGAUACCUUUCUUUUUGUUCGUUUUUCUGCUUAAAUAUUUGUUGAGUAAUUCAUCUCUCUUACAUUUGGGUUAUUGAUGUUUUUAGCCUUGUAUUUUAUUUUCUAAACAUAACAGGAGAGAAAGAAGCAAUGACACUUGGGUGAUAUGUUAGAGAAAGCAAAGAGACGGUUCCAUCUCGCAAACAGGGAGGACUAGUGGUAACUGGUUAGAGCAGAAAUUUGCUUCUAAUUGUAUCAAAAAUAUUAGUCAUUAGGUGUGAUUAGUAUUAAAAUUUGCUUCUAGGUAUCAAAUUUUAGGAUCAACAUUGUCAUUCGCAAUUGGCUCCACAGUUUCCAAUUUGCCAGCCAUCCAAAAUCAAAUGUACAAGAUAA